GAUGAACGCUGGCGGCGUGCCUAAUACAUGCAAGUCGAGCGAACAGACGAGAGUGCUUGCACUCUCUGACGUUAGCGGCGGACGGGUGAGUAACACGUGGGUAACCUACCUAUAAGACUGGGAUAACUUCGGGAAACCGGAGCUAAUACCGGAUAAUAUUUAGCUUCGCAUGAAGCAAUAGUGAAAGACGGUUCUGCUGUCACUUAUAGAUGGACCCGCGGUGUAUUAGCUAGUUGGUGAGGUAACGGCUCACCAAGGCAACGAUACAUAGCCGACCUGAGAGGGUGAUCGGCCACACUGGGACUGAGACACGGCCCAGACUCCUACGGGAGGCAGCAGUAGGGAAUCUUCCGCAAUGGACGAAAGUCUGACGGAGCAAUGCCGCGUGAGUGAAGAAGGUUUUCGGAUCGCAAAACUCUGUUGUAAGGGAAGAACAAGUACGUUAGUAACUGAACGUACCUUGACGGUACCUUACCAGAAAGCCACGGCUAACUACGUG
rnacentral:rRNA from 1 species